rnacentral:rRNA from 1 species
AGCAGCCGCGGUAAUUCCAGCUCCAAUAGCGUAUAUUAAAGUUGUUGCAGUUAAAAAGCUCGUAGUUGAAUUUCGGGGUUAGUAGGUUGGUCAUGCCUCUGGUAUGUACUGGUCUCACUGAUUCCUCCUUCCUGAUGAGCCGUAAUGCCAUUAAUUUGGUGUUGCGGGGAAUUUGGACUGUUACUUUGAAAAAUUAGAGUGUUUAAAGCAAGCUAACGCUUGAAUACAUUAGCAUGGAAUAAUGAAAUAGGACGUUUGAUUCUAUUUUGUUGGUUUCUAGGAUCGACGUAAUGAUUAAUAGGGAUAGUUGGGGGCAUUAGUAUUCAAUUGUCAGAGGUGAAAUUCUUGGAUUUAUUGAAGACUAACUACUGCGAAAGCAUUUGCCAAGGAUGUUUUCAUUAAUCAAGAACGAAAGUUAGGGGAUCGAGACGAUCAGAUACCGUCGUAGUCUUAACCAUAAACUAUGCCGACUA